CUCAUGGAGAGUUUGAUCCUGGCUCAGGAUGAAUGCUGGUGGCAUGCUUAACACAUGCAAGUUAGAUGGGAAGUGGUGUUUCCAGUGGCGUACGGGUGAGUAACAUGUAAGAACCUGCCCUUGGGAGGGGGACAACAGCUGGAAACGACUGCUAAUACCCCAUAGGCUGAGGAGAAAAAGGAGGAAUCCACCCAAGGAGGGGCUCGC
rfam:Picea glauca, whole genome shotgun sequence.